rnacentral:rRNA from 1 species
GACGAACGCUGGCGGCGUGCCUAAUACAUGCAAGUAGAACGCUGAAGGAGGAGCUUGCUUCUCUGGAUGAGUUGCGAACGGGUGAGUAACGCGUAGGUAACCUGCCUGGUAGCGGGGGAGAACUAUUGGAAACGAUAGCUAAUAUAGCAUAAUAGUAGAUGUCGCAUGACAUUUGCUGAAAAGUUGCAAUUUCCUCACUACCAGAUGGACCUGCGUUGUAUUAGCUAGUGGGUGAGGUAACGGCACACCAAGGCAACGUUACAUAGCCGACCUGAGAGGGGGAUCGGCCACACUGGGACUGAGACACGGCCCAGACUCCUACGGGAGGCAGCAGUAGGGAAUCUUCGGAAAUGGACGGAAGUCUGACCGAGCAACGCCGCGUGAGGGAAGAAGGUUUUCGGAUCGUAAAGCUCUGUUGUAAGAGAAGAACGAGUGUGAGAGUGGAAAGUUCACACUGUGACGGUAUCUUACCAGAAAGGGACGGCUAACUACGUG